GGUUUGGCACCUCGAUGUCGGCUCAUCACAUCCUGGGGCUGUAGUAGGUCCCAAGGGUUGGGCUGUUCGCCCAUUAAAGUGGUACGCGAGCUGGGUUCAGAACGUCGUGAGACAGUUCGGUCCCUAUCCGUCGCAGGCGUAGGAAAUUUGAGAAGACCUGUCCUUAGUACGAGAGGACCGGGAUGGACGUACCUCUGGUGUACCAGUUGUCCUGCCAAGGGCAUGGCUGGGUAGCUAUGUACGGAAUGGAUAAGCGCUGAAAGCAUCUAAGCGCGAAGCCAACUUCAAGAUAAGAUUUCCCACCGAAAGGGUAAGACCCCAGAAAGACUAUCUGGUUGAUAGGUCGAAGGUGUAAGUGCAGCAAUGUAUUUAGCUUAUCGAUACUAAUAGGUCGAGGACUUGACCAAU
rnacentral:rRNA from 1 species